ensembl:scaRNA SCARNA13 Small Cajal body specific RNA 13
AUCUGGUGGUGACAAAUAUGCAAUGUUGUUCUGCAGUGCUUUCAUAUUAUUGCAAGCGACUCAACAAUAUUGCAUAGAUUAAAGGAAGAAGUAUAAAGGCGUAACCUCUGGAGGUUUUGAGGUCUUACGUGCGAUAUUCUUUUAACACUUUGAACCCUGUUUCCACGGCGGUAAUAGUUGGCCGAUACUGUUACCUAUCCACAAACAGGCAGAAAAAGACCGAGCACUUCGAUAUUGUCUGUUAGGACAAGCUCACCUUUCAGACACUUUUUGUUGCAACAUUU